GAUGAAGAACGCAGCGAAAUGCGAUACUCGGUGUGAAUUGCAGAAUCCCGUGAACCAUCGAGUCUUUGAACGCAAGUUGCGCCCGAAGCCGUCAGGCCGAGGGCACGCCUGCCUGGGCGUCACACGCCGUUGCCCCCCCGCGCCCCGCACCCAACGCUUUGGGAGCGACCGCGGGGCGGGCUGAUGAUGGCCUCCCGUGCGCUCCGCCGCGCGGUUGGCCCAAAUACCGAGUCCCCGGCGACGUGCGCCACGACGAUCGGUGGUUGAGAGACCUCUGUCGCAAGUCGUGCGCGCCCGUCGCGUCACGCGGGCUCGCAUAGCGCCUCGCGCCGCACCCGGUGCGGAGCUUUCAACGCGACCCCAGGUCAGGCGGGGUUACCCGCUGAAUUUAAGCAUAUCAAUAAGCGGAGGA
rnacentral:misc_RNA from 1 species